rnacentral:rRNA from 1 species
CUUGCAUCAUUGUAAAAAUGAUGCAGGAUCGACUAUGUCGAAUAAAAUUCUAGGUAGAAUUAUGAUAAUGACAUUGUCUGCCUAUGUGUCUUGACCAAAUUACGUGCCAGCAGUCGCGGUAAUACGUAGAAGACUAGUGUUAUUCAUGUUUAAUCGGUUUAAAGGGUACCUAGACGGUAAAUCAAGCCUAAAAUUAAAUGAAGGGACUAAUUUACUAGAGUUACUUAUGAGGGGGUAUUAAAGUACUGCUGGUGUAGAGAUGAAAUUCUGUCAUACCUCUUUUCAAUAGAAAAACAAUGGCACAGGUAUAGGCGAAAGCAUCCCCUUAUGUGAUAACUGACGUUGAGGGACGAAGGCUUUGUGUAGCGAACAGGAUUAGAUACCCCAGUAGUCAAAGCAGAAAAUGAUGAAUGUCAUAGAUUAGAUAAAUAAGUUUAUUCUAUAAAUGAAAGUGUAAGCAUUCCACCUCAAGAGUAAUUUGGCAACAUUGGAACUGAAAUCAUUAGACCGUUUCUGAAACCAGUAGUGAAGUAUGUUGUUUAAUUUGAUGAUCCGCAAAAAACCUUACCNCAAUUUGAAUAUUUAUAUUUUUUUAUUGUUUUUUUUUUAAUUUUCUUCUGAUUUUAUUUUUCUAAAGAAAAAAAGAAAAAGAGGCGAUAUGAUAUAUUUACAAGCGUUGCACGGCUGUCUUCAGUUAAUGUCGCGAGACUUUGGUUAGUUCCAUUAAAUUAACGUAAACCCUUACUUUAUUUUUAUAUAGAGUAGUUCCCCGCUAUAUUGGAUAUGAUA